rnacentral:rRNA from 1 species
AUGCAGGCGGCCGCGCCGGCGCCGCGCCACCGCGUGUACACGGCCGUCGAGCCCCGGUGCGAGUGGGCGCGCACGGCCGACGCCGACACCCUCGCCGUCGACGUCUCCGGGUUCAUGAAGGAGGAGCUGAGGGUGCUAUACAACACGAGCCGGAAGCUCAAGGUGGCCGGCGAGCGACCAGUCGGCGACGGCGUCGGAGCGCGAUGGGCGCGGUUCCUCAAGUCGUUCCCGGUGCCGAAGAGCGUCCGCACCGGCGGCAUCAGGGCCGUGAUGGACAAGGAGCAGGCCGUGCUCUACGUCAUCCUGCCCAAGGGGUCACCACCACCAGGACCUCCGCCGCCGCCGCCAACCCCGUCAUCCAUGGCCGCGCAGAAGGAGCAACCGCAGCCUGGAGGCGCUCUGCCCCAUGGAGAGCGGAAAGGCGACGGCUCGUCGGGCAGCAGCAGCAGCAAUGGCAGCUUCUGGAGCGCCCAAGAGGACGCGGAGAAGAACAGGGCUGAAGAGAAGAACACGGCACCUCAGGAGACCAGGAUUCAGAUACAGGCGGAGGAGGAGAUUGCCACACCAGAUGCCCCAAGAAACGACGGUGGUGAUGGUGACAAGAGGUGGUGGGAGAAGCUCACGCCUCUGCACGUUGUUGGCUUCAUUGUAAUCGUCCUCGCCGUGGUAGGAAUUGGUGCCCUGUAUGCAACGCUGCUGCUCUGA